AACGAACGCUGGCGGCAUGCCUAACACAUGCAAGUCGAACGAGACCUUCGGGUCUAGUGGCGCACGGGUGCGUAACGCGUGGGAACCUGCCCUUAGGUUCGGAAUAACUCCCCGAAAGGGGUGCUAAUACCGGAUAAUGUCCUCGGACCAAAGAUUUAUCGCCUUUGGAUGGGCCCGCGUUGGAUUAGCUAGUUGGUAGGGUAAAAGCCUACCAAGGCGACGAUCCAUAGCUGGUCUGAGAGGAUGAUCAGCCACACUGGGACUGAGACACGGCCCAGACUCCUACGGGAGGCAGCAGUGGGGAAUAUUGGACAAUGGGCGAAAGCCUGAUCCAGCAAUGCCGCGUGAGUGAUGAAGGCCUUAGGGUUGUAAAGCUCUUUUACCCGGGGUGAUAAUGACAGUACCGGGAGAAUAAGCUCCGGCUAACUCCGUG
rnacentral:rRNA from 1 species